CAGUCCACAGGGAGAUCUACCUCCAUGGUCUACAACCAUUUCUGAUGUGCGUCUCUGGUACUCCCAAGCAUCCCCAGGGUGAAUGCUGUGCACAUCCGACCAAAACCAUAGCAACAACACUCCCAAACUCUGCACACGGGGAACCUUCUAAACACUUUGAGCUGCCUGCCAGUGGCUUUGAACUUGGCUGUAACCUGGAGGAAGGAAUCCUUAAUGACAUGGAGACAAGGAGAAUCAACUGCAACCCCAGGUUUAGUAAAUUGUGCGAGAUGAACCUGAUGCAUUUCUUCAAUGAGACAGCUCAUUCCCUAGACAUGAGAAGUGUGGUACGAUCUCAUUUAUCUGGGUAUCAAGAGGCACCACAACAUGACACGGGCAAUUAUUAGCAGGAACCUCUGCAGAUAGAAACAGACGAGGAAGAGGAGAAAUGCGUGGAUGCACUGGCUGGUCACAGCAUAACCACAUGUUGCCACUGGAUGAGAGCUGGAGAAAAGGGAAGGAAAUUCUUGGAUCAGCUUAGAA